GGUCCCGUAGCGGAGUGGUCACCGCGGUGUACUUAUGGUUUCAAAAUUUUGGAAGACAUGCACAGGUCGAGGGUUCGAACCCCUCCGGGACCA